UACGAAGGGGGCAAGCGUUGUUCGGAUUUACUGGGCGUAAAGCGUACGUAGGCGGAUCAUUAAGUCAGGGGUGAAAUCCCGGGGCUCAACCUCGGAACUGCCUUUGAUACUGGUGAUCUUGAGUCCGGGAGAGGUGAGUGGAACUCCUAGUGUAGAGGUGAAAUUCGUAGAUAUUAGGAAGAACACCAGUGGCGAAGGCGGCUCACUGGCCCGGAACUGACGCUGAGGUACGAAAGCGUGGGGAGCAAACA
rnacentral:rRNA from 1 species